GCUGGGUGUGGUGGUGGGCGCCUGUAAUCCCAGCUACUCUGGAGGCUGAGGCAGAAGAAUCACUUGAAUCCGGGAGAUAGAGGUUGCAGUGAGCCAAGAGCGCACCACUGCACUCCAACCUGGGUGACAGAGUGAGACUCUGUCUCAA
rnacentral:SRP_RNA from 1 species